GGGGGUGUGGCGCAAUGGUAGCGCGUCAGAUUCCAGCAAUAUCUUCAUUCAGGACUUCUCAAAAGGCCUACCGAAGAUAAUAUUGGAAAUUCCUGAAGGCUAUGCGUUCAAAUCGCAUCAUCCUCA